rnacentral:rRNA from 1 species
UACGUAGGGUGCAAGCGUUAAUCGGAAUUACUGGGCGUAAAGCGUGCGCAGGCGGUUGUGCAAGACAGAGGUGAAAUCCCCGGGCUUAACCUGGGAACUGCAUUUGUGACUGCAUAGCUAGAGUACGGUAGAGGGGGAUGGAAUUCCGCGUGUAGCAGUGAAAUGCGUAGAUAUGCGGAGGAACACCGAUGGCGAAGGCAAUCCCCUGGACCUGUACUGACGCUCAUGCACGAAAGGCGUGGGGAGCAAACAGG